rnacentral:misc_RNA from 1 species
UUAAGUUUAGCGGGUAGUCCUACCUGAUUUGAGGUCAGAGUCAAAAAUUGCCCGAGGGCGAUUGUAAGCAGUCAUCACAACCUUCACCGACGAAACUUAUUACGCCUAAGUCUUUUAAGGCGAGCCGGCAGAGCGGCAACACCCAAGUCCAAUCUCCUCGGAAACCCGAGGGAUUGAGUCUACAUGACACUCAAAGAGGC